CNCAUGCGAAUGGGUACCCCGUGUGCUGA
rnacentral:piRNA from 1 species